rnacentral:tRNA from 1 species
GUGGUUGUGGAUCAGGGGUAGAGCACUUGCCUAUCAUGUGUGAGGUACUGGGUUCCAUCCUCAGCACCACA